rnacentral:rRNA from 1 species
AACGAACACUGGCGGCAUGCCUAACACAUGCAAGUCGAACGAGACCUUCGGGUCUAGUGGCGCACGGGUGCGUAACGCGUGGGAAUCUGCCCUUGGGUUCGGAAUAACAGUUAGAAAUGACUGCUAAUACCGGAUAAUGUCUUCGGACCAAAGAUUUAUCGCCCAGGGAUGAGCCCGCGUAGGAUUAGCUAGUUGGUGAAGGUAAAGGCUCACCAAGGCGACGAUCCUUAGCUGGUCUGAGAGGAUGAUCAGCCACACUGGGACUGAGACACGGCCCAGACUCCGUACGGGAGGCAGCAGGUGGGAAUAUUGGACAAUGGCGAAAGCCUGAUCCAGC